rnacentral:rRNA from 1 species
UACCAGCACCCCGAGUGGUCGGGACGAUUAUUGGGCCUAAAGCAUCCGUAGCCGGUCCUGCAAGUCUUCCGUUAAAUCCAGCUGCUCAACAGAUGGGCUGCGGGAGAUACUACAGGGCUAGGAGGCGGGAGAGGCAAGCGGUACUUUAUGGGUAGGGGUAAAAUCCGCUGAUCCAUAGAAGACCACCAGUGGCGAAGGCGACUUACUGGACACAUAUUGACGCUGAGGUGCGAAAGCGUGGGGAGCAAACAGG